AAUAUUAUUCUCAUCAAAUAAAUGCAAAACGCAUAAAUACUCACGAAAAAAACAAAAGAAUACAAUCCGGUGCGCAAAUAUACGGAACACCUCUCAAAAGCCAAAGUUCAAAACUACCCAAAACAAUAAGGCCGGAGUAUACGAACGUGCAAUGCACCAACCGCAUACCCACACCUCACAAUUCAGAACAAUGGCAUCUCAUGAAGCCAAAAACCCAGCACAAAACCAACUGCCAAGCCAACCUCCAGGUUCCCUCCUAACAUAGUAAUACUUUACCUUCCCCAUUCCUAAUAAAAUGGAAAUAAUAGAAUACCAAAGAAAUAAAAACAGGCCAUCACAGAGAAGUCUGUCAAAAAAAGGCAGCACUACAAGUAGUUAAAAGCCAUGACAGCAACACACCCUAUUGCGCAAACAGCUCCAAAACUCCCUAAAUUACACAAAAACUCCAAAGCUCAGCCAACACAACAAUAACGUCAAACGCACACCUCCAACCAAAAGCAUUAUCUUUCAAGACAGUUUUGGAUUCCAACUCCAUUCGUAAAAAAGACAAGACGGGGUAUGAGUCCUAUCCAGCAUCCACCUCCAAGACAACACCUUUAUCUCUUCAACCAUUCAUCCACGUCAAAAUUAAUCCCCUUAAAAAUCUUAUCAUUUCUCUUCUUCCACAUCACCCAAAUGGUAGUAUGCCAAAUUAACCAAAAACCUUUGGUAACCUUUUUAGGUCUCCCACCAACACUCCAACACUCCCGAACAAAGAAGUAUGCACACCUUGAUUUUGUGGAGAGUGAACCCAACCACCGUGAUCUCCUCAAAGCCACAUGUCAUGCAUUACAUGUACCUGUUGACCACUUCUGAUCUUCCACCUACAUCCAUUUAAAAGAAUUUGACGCGAAUUCCAAAUACUUCUCCAAACAAAAAUAAGAUUGUGGCCAUGAAUAACAUAAAAAAAAAAGUGCGAGAAAAAUACCUUGCUUUGAAAAUUCUUGACACCAAUGCAUUUGGUUUUGAUAGAAAAUUUCAUCCCUGCUUGCCACCAUGGCUAAAUUAAAGGCUUUAAAAUUGCGAAACCCCGUCCCACCGACAUCCUUAGGACAGGCAACUC
rnacentral:lncRNA from 1 species